rnacentral:rRNA from 1 species
AGGGUUCGAUUCUGGCUCAGGAUGAACGCUGGCGGCGUGCUUAACACAUGCAAGUCGAACGGGAUCCACCGGGCUUUGCUUGGUGGUGAGAGUGGCGAACGGGUGAGUAAUGCGUGACCGACCUGCCCCAUACACCGGAAUAGCUCCUGGAAACGGGUGGUAAUGCCGGAUGCUCCAGUUGAUCGCAUGGUCUUCUGGGAAAGCUUUCGCGGUAUGGGAUGGGGUCGCGUCCUAUCAGCUUGACGGCGGGGUAACGGCCCACCGUGGCUUCGACGGGUAGCCGGCCUGAGAGGGCGACCGGCCACAUUGGGACUGAGAUACGGCCCAGACUCCUACGGGAGGCAGCAGUGGGGAAUAUUGCACAAUGGGCGCAAGCCUGAUGCAGCGACGCCGCGUGAGGGAUGGAGGCCUUCGGGUUGUAAACCUCUUUUAUCGGGGAGCAAGCGAGAGUGAGUUUACCCGUUGAAUAAGCACCGGCUAACUACGUGCCAGCAGCCGCGGUAAUACGUAGGGUGCAAGCGUUAUCCGGAAUUAUUGGGCGUAAAGGGCUCGUAGGCGGUUCGUCGCGUCCGGUGUGAAAGUCCAUCGCUUAACGGUGGAUCCGCGCCGGGUACGGGCGGGCUUGAGUGCGGUAGGGGAGACUGGAAUUCCCGGUGUAACGGUGGAAUGUGUAGAUAUCGGGAAGAACACCAAUGGCGAAGGCAGGUCUCUGGGCCGUUACUGACGCUGAGGAGCGAAAGCGUGGGGAGCGAACAGGAUUAGAUACCCUGGUAGUCCACGCCGUAAACGGUGGAUGCUGGAUGUGGGGCCCGUUCCACGGGUUCCGUGUCGGAGCUAACGCGUUAAGCAUCCCGCCUGGGGAGUACGGCCGCAAGGCUAAAACUCAAAGAAAUUGACGGGGGCCCGCACAAGCGGCGGAGCAUGCGGAUUAAUUCGAU